UAUGGCGGUAAGCUCCAACGAGGAUAAUACGAGAAUCUCAUAUUAUCCUCGAUUUUCAUAAGCAUUAACCAGUAUAAUACUCAUUUUUAAUCUCGGAUUAAUUCUUAAUACGCCGAUUUCGGCGUAUUAAGAAAAUCGGAGAUUUUCCUGAAAUGGAUGCGUGCUUGAAUUUUCGAGGGUACGCACACUACUUUACUCUCUUGUCAACUUGUCUCUUGACGACGAACAUCCCAAAACAAAAACAAAAGUGGCGAGCUGCAGCUGUACAAGGAAGAAUUAUUUUUGUAUUUAUUUUCCUGCCAACCGCUAUGUAAUUCACCCUUACAAUGUUGACUAGCGCAUCCCAGCCGGAAUCUCGUUCUCGUUGCACAAGAGGACUGUAUGCUCCUAAACACCCGGACCUGAAGACAAUCCCGAACGUACACGACAAGAGGAUGCAGUUGCUCAAGUCGAAGAACUUUGUUAAAGAGCAGUUCGCCCGGCGCCACUACUAAUGGUGGGCAAUGAGUUCUCACGAUCGUAUCAGUAGCUGCCCUGGAGAUUGUGCCAUCGACGCUGAAGCGCGCUGCCCAUUCGAAGCCCCAGUGAGUCCGUGCUGCCGCUGGACCCCGUUCCGGCGAUGCUGGACGGGAGUUGAAGACCGUCAGAGUUACCGCCGCAUCCAGCACUUUGGAGGAACAGACAAUAAAGGGGAUGUCGGUACCGGAGCCAUAGAUCUUGAGUUCCGUGGUCCAUUCGGACGUGGGUCGAAGCCACAGUAAGACACGGAUUGACUCCAUUUGUGUAAAUUUUAUAAUGAAAAGUGUGAUCUUAGAGAAACAUGCUAAUUAUAAGUGCUUAUUAUAAUAUGUGUACAUAUAAAGACCUGAAAAUAUAGCAUUUUUCUUAUUUCUUGAAGAAAUCUUAAAAGUGAUAA